AAAAGGUUCGUGAUACCCCAGUGCUUGAGAAGCGCAAAAACAGGCAACAAAUAUUGACACCGGAUACUAAUACAUGCGGACCAGCAAUGCGGACAAGGGGGGCUAAAAAAGUUAAGGAAGCACAUUGUGAGGAGAAGGUACGCAGAAGAAAGCUAAUAAGUACGUAAAAAAGCAUUUUCUUUC